UGCUGUACUGCAGAGUCUGAUGAAAAUUCAGCUGCUGUGAGAAACAUGUGGCACCAACACUCUGUGAUGACUCAAGAGCUGGCAGGGAGCCCCACAGUUUUGCUGAGAUAUAAAUCAAUGCACUUUCCAAAACAAUUCUCAAUGCAGCUUUGUUUGAACUGACACAUUGCUGACAAAAAUGGUCUGUGAUAGCCCAACAUGAUUUUUCCUGUGGCUGCUCUUCUGUGUAAAACUUCAUUCUGGUGUAUUUGGGGAAACUUCAGAUACCAGCUUUUGAAGAACUGACUUUAUGGAAUGUUCCUGCAGCCCUGACAAAGAGAAGUGAAGAGCAAAAGAUACAAAAGAUAAACUGUUGAGGAAAUACUGGAAUUUUGCCUGGGGUUCCAAGCAUUAUAACAUUUUCUAUCCCCAGCUCUUCACUUUGUCCCUAACUUGGAUCAAAUGAACAAUGUGACUGCAGCUGAACCAGACAUAUGCCAUGGGACUGUGAUGCCACUGAAGUCCCUGCACUGGAAACAACUGACAAAGUUCUCUAAAACUAAUGUAAAUGAGAGUAGGAUCAAGACUUUUUCUGGAAGUAUUUGCUUGCAUUAGAAAAGGGAAAAAAAGAGGGA